rfam:Schistosoma haematobium scaffold1413_6, whole genome shotgun sequence.
AUUUAAGUCCCAAAUAGGACGAAACGUGCGUCCUGGAU